UUAAAGAUUUUUGGUGGUGUAUGUUUAAGAUUAUAAGAUUUAGUGAACGAACCAGAUUAGUACCUGGUUAGAUAAAAAUUAAAAGAGCAGGAGUAAAGUUGAAUUUAAACUGUAAUAAUAUUGGCAGGCUUUUAAAUUAUCUUUGGAGGCUGAGUAGUAAUUGAGAACCCUCAUUUACAACUCUCAUUUUAGGCUCAUGUAUGAUCGUUUAUUUUAUUCUUAAGGAUUGUAAUUUUAGUUUUUUAUCUGUUAAAAUAGAUAUAUACUUGGUUUAUGUGGGAGGUUAAUUUGGCCUACAAUGUUAUAUUUUUUGGAUAGUGUUGGUAGUUGAUACUUGAAAUUGUAAAAGACAGUAAAGCCUUUUUAAUGGGGGAUUGAAGUUUAUUUAAAAGCGGUACAAAUCAUCCA
rnacentral:rRNA from 1 species